AGUCAUGAUGGCUAUUCCUUGAAAAUAGUGAUUGUGAUGAGUGAGAUGGCCGUGUUCCCGCACGGCCAUAUCGCGCU
rnacentral:antisense_RNA from 29 species